rnacentral:rRNA from 1 species
CCCUUAGAUGUUCGGGGCCGCACGCGCGCUACACUGAAGGAAUCAGCGCGUCUUUCUCCUUGUCCGAAAGGACUGGGUAACCCGCUGAACCUCCUUCGUGCUAGGGAUUGGGGCUUGUAAUUCUUCCCCAUGAACGAGGAAUUCCCAGUAAGCGCGAGUCAUAAGCUCGCGUUGAUUACGUCCCUGCCCUUUGUACACACCGCCCGUCGCUACUACCGAUUGGAUGGUUUAGUGAGAUCCUCGGAUUGGUCCCGGAGCGGCCUCUGGUCGUGCCGGAGUGCCGAAAAGAAUGUCGAACUUGAUCAUCUAGAGGAAGUAAAAGUCGUAACA